rnacentral:rRNA from 1 species
GAUGAACGCUGGCGGCGUGCCUAAUACAUGCAAGUAGAACGCUGAAGGAGGAGCUUGCUCUUCUGGAUGAGUUGCGAACGGGUGAGUAACGCGUAGGUAACCUGCCUGGUAGCGGGGGAUAACUAUUGGAAACGAUAGCUAAUACCGCAUGACAACAGUUAUUGCAUGAUAACUGUUUAAAAGGGGCAACUGCUCCACUACCAGAUGGACCUGCGUUGUAUUAGCUAGUUGGUGAGGUAACGGCUCACCAAGGCGACGAUACAUAGCCGAGCUGAGAGGGUGAACGGCCAAACUGGGACUGGGACACGGCCCAGACUCCUACGGGGGGCAGCAGUAGGGGAUCUUCGGAAAUGGACGGAAGGCUGACCGAGCAACGCCGCGGGAGUGAAGAAGGGUUUCGGAUCGUAAAGCUCUGUUGUAAGAGAAGAAAGAGUGUGAGAGUGGAAAGUUCACACUGUGACGGUAGCUUAACAGAAAGGGACGGCUAACUACGUG